UAACAAUUCUAAUAGAACAAUUUCUUAAUCUUUUAGGUAUCUUUUGGUUCGGGGAUAAGCAAAAAGCGGCUAUUCCAGGAAUAGGUAUAAAUUGAGGUAUAAGCAGGGAUUAAAUCAAUUUUGCGUUUGGAUGAAAAUUGGGUUAUUCCUGGGAAUAAAAAAAAUAGCGUUUGGUUAGGUAAGAUGGAAUAAGAAGAAUAGUGGGUUUUUAUAAAUAAAAAAUAACGCAUUACCCUUUUAUUAUAUUUGAAUUCGAAUUUUUAAAAUUUUAAAUUUAUAUUUUUUAAUUUAAAAUUUUAACUUUAGCAAUUUAAAUUAUUUAAAUUUAUAAUCUUUUAUAUUUCAAAACUUUAAUUUUAUUAUCAAAUUUAAAUUUGAAAUAUAUUAAAUUAUAUUAAAUUUUAUAUUUAAAUUUUAUACUUUAAUUUUGAGAUUAUAAAUUAUAAAUUUUAAAAAUUUAAAUUUUUAAUUUUUAAAAUUUUAAAAUAAGAAUAGGGAUGGGAACAAUUAAUAAAAACUAUUUAUUAUAAUAAAUUUAUAAUUUUUUUAAAAUUCUAAUUAAACUUAAAUUUAAUAAAAAAUUUAUUAUAAUAUUUAAAUAUAAAUAAUAUAUAUUAAUAUAGUACAAUUAAUAAUUUUAUAAUAAAAAUAAUGUAUUAUAAUAUAUAACAUAUUAUAUUUAUAAUUUUGUUUUAAUUCAAUUUAUAAUUUUAAUUAAGUAUGAAAUUAAGCAUUGGAAUAGUACUAUUCCCCCAAAAUGGUGGAAUAGCAAAUCCCUUACUAUUCCGGAAUAACUGGGAAUAGCAAGGUUUGACCGGAAUAAAAUAUCCCGGUGAAACAUCAGCCCGUUUGGCGGAAUAGCGNAAUAGCGGAAAAGGGUUUCCGAUAUUAGAAACUCGAGUCGAAUAAAUUUAACAUAUGACAAACGAUGGGGUUUGACGAGUUAUUCCAUAACCUCCGCCUAGUCGGGACUCAUGAUAGAAGGAUUGUAUCAACGGUAACUGCACAAGGAGGUUCAGUAUUCCAUUCUACUGGAAUGCCACUACAUGCUGCUAAGCGUCACUGGUGGAUUGUGAGACUCGUGAGAAUUAUCUAGAUGAUCGAUAAUUCUCAUUGGGCUGAGUUGGAAUUGUUCCGAUCCACUGAAAGGAGUUUCAGUGAUAUUGUUGAUAGUGAUCAAAAUAUAUCUCACUACCAGAUAGAAUAGAACCUAUGGGGUCAUACACAUAAGAGGUUGUGAUUGAUCGGAUAGCUAGAUCGCGAUUAUUGAAUCGCCGGAGGACCUAAUUGUCAAUAUGUUGAUAAUUGGACUAAUUUGUAAUUGUUACAAAUUAGUGGUAUUAAAGUGUAAAUGUUACAAGAGAGGACUUACUAAUAGUUAGUGUGGACGUUUUGUGGAUUAGGGACAUUGCGUUCGUGGAUUCGAACGUGGGCGUGGACUAGCCGUUGGUGUGCGCGAGAUCUAAAGAAGAUAAAAAAAGAGGUUUGAGUACGUGGAUUAGUAAUCACCUUAUCAUCUUUUUUACUCUUAGUGGAUUGUUAUCGCGUAUUGGUCCCGUGAGUCAGUAAUCACUUUGUUAUCUUUUAUUUGUUGCAUCGAGUUGGUUAUUUUUAUUGUUUACACCUAUUCAUCCCCCUCUAAAUGAUUGAUAGUAUCUAGAUAGAUCCUUGGGAUCCCCAUAACUAACAAUUCUAAUAGAACAAUUUCUUAAUCUUUUAGGUAUCUUUUGGUUCGGGGAUAAGCAAAAAGCGGCUAUUCCAGGAAUAGGUAUAAAUUGAGGUAUAAGCAGGGAUUAAAUCAAUUUUGCGUUUGGAUGAAAAUUGGGUUAUUCCUGGGAAUAAAAAAAAUAGCGUUUGGUUAGGUAAGAUGGAAUAAGAAGAAUAGUGGGUUUUUAUAAAUAAAAAAUAACGCAUUACCCUUUUAUUAUAUUUGAAUUCGAAUUUUUAAAAUUUUAAAUUUAUAUUUUUUAAUUUAAAAUUUUAACUUUGAAAUUUCAAAAUUUGAAAUUAAAAUUUGAAAUUUAAAAUCUUAAAUUUUAAAUUCAAAAUUUUAAAUUUUAAAUUUAAGAUCAAAUUUAAAUUUGAAAAUAUAAAAUAUCAAAUUUUAAAUUUCAAAAUUUUAAAAUAUCAAAAUUUAAAUUUUAUAAUUUAAACUUAUAAACUUUAAUUUUGAGAUUAUAAAUUAUAAAUUUUAAAAAUGUAAAUUUUUAAUUUUUAAAUUUUUAAAAUAAAAAUAGGGGUGGGAACAAUUAAUAAAAAUAAUUUAUUAUAAUAAAUUUAUAAAUUUUUUUAAAAUUCAACUUAAACUUAAAUUUAAUAAAAAAAAUUUAUUAUAAUACUUGAAUAAAAUUUAUUAUAAUAUUUAAAUAUAAAUAAUAUAUAUUAAUAUAGUACAAUUAAUAAUUUUAUAAUAAAAAUAAUGUAUUAUAAUAUAUAACAUAUUAUAUUUAUAAUUUUGUUUUAAUUCAAUUUAUAAUUUUAAUUA
rnacentral:lncRNA from 1 species